GAGGAUCAACAGGUGCUUGGCUAUUUGCUGAGUACCCUCUCUAAGGAGGUGCUGGUUGCGGUCACCGCGAUCACCACGGCGCGUGAACUCUAGGUGGCACUGGCGGGCAUGUUCUCGUCCCAGUCACUCAGCCGCGUCAACAACAUCAGGACCGCGCUCAUCAACGCGCAGAAGGGCAACUAGUCGGUCGCCUCGUACUUCGCCUCCCUCCGUGGCCUCAUUGAUGAACUCACUGCCGCCGGCAAGCCUAUCCAGGAUGACGAAUAAAUCUCGUACAUCCUCCACGGCCUCGACAUCGACUACCAGCCGCUCGUCUCUGCCCUCAACGCCCGCGUCACGCCCAUCACCAUCGACGAGCUCUACGCCAUGCCGAGUAACUUUGAUCAGCGCAUGGCUCAGUUCCACGGCUCCUCCGGCGGCUUCAAGUCCUCUACCAACACCGCGUCUCGUGGCCGUGGUGGUGGCCCUCGCUCGCGUGGAUCUCCCCGCAACAAGGGGCAGUCAGGAAGCAACAACAAGGGUGGCGGCGGCUCCAUCAACUCUCGCAACGGGCGCCCCACCAACUCCAAGCCUUGUCGUGGCGGCGGCUCCAGCAGGUCUUGCCCUGAUGCACCACGCUGCCAGAUCUGUGGCAAGCUUGGGCACACGGCCAAAGACUGUUGGUAUCAUUAUGACGAAGAUGAUGACUCCUCCCAAGACGAGGACAAGGUUGCUGCAGCUGCGGACGGCUCCUACGACGUGGACACAAACUAG
rnacentral:rRNA from 1 species